UACAUGUGGGGCAAGCGUUGUUCGGAAUUACUGGGCAUAAAGGGUGCGUAGGUGGUUUGUUAAGUCACGGGUGAAAGUUUUCGGCCCAACCGGAAAAUUGCCCGUGAUACUGGCGAACUUGAGUGCGUGAGGGGUAACCGGAACGAGCAGUGUAGCGGUGAAAUGCGUAGAUAUUGCUCGGAAGGCCAGAGGCGAAGGCGGGUUACUGGUGCGCAACUGACACUGAGGCACGAAAGCGUGGGGAGCAAACAGGG
rnacentral:rRNA from 1 species